rnacentral:rRNA from 1 species
ACGCUAGCUACAGGCUUAACACAUGCAAGUCGAGGGGCAUCAGGAAGAAAGCUUGCUUUCUUUGCUGGCGACCGGCGCACGGGUGAGUAACACGUAUCCAACCUGCCCUUUACUCGGGGAUAGCCUUUCGAAAGAAAGAUUAAUACCCGAUAGCAUAAUGAUUCCGCAUGGUUUCAUUAUUAAAGGAUUCCGGUAAAGGAUGGGGAUGCGUUCCAUUAGGUUGUUGGUGAGGUAACGGCCCACCAAGCCCUCGAUGGAUAGGGGUUCUGAGAGGAAGGUCCCCCACAUUGGAACUGAGACACGGUCCAAACUCCUACGGGAGGCAGCAGUGAGGAAUAUUGGUCAAUGGGCGCUAGCCUGAACCAGCCAAGUAGCGUGAAGGAUGAAGGCUCUAUGGGUCGUAAACUUCUUUUAUAUAAGAAUAAAGUGCAGUAUGUAUACUGUUUUGUAUGUAUUAUAUGAAUAAGGAUCGGCUAACUCCGUGCCAGCAGCCGCGGUAAUACGGAGGAUCCGAGCGUUAUCCGGAUUUAUUGGGUUUAAAGGGAGCGUAGGUGGACUGGUAAGUCAGUUGUGAAAGUUUGCGGCUCAACCGUAAAAUUGCAGUUGAUACUGUCAGUCUUGAGUACAGUAGAGGUGGGCGGAAUUCGUGGUGUAGCGGUGAAAUGCUUAGAUAUCACGAAGAACUCCGAUUGCGAAGGCAGCUCACUGGACUGCAACUGACACUGAUGCUCGAAAGUGUGGGUAUCAAACAGGAUUAGAUACCCUGGUAGUCCACACAGUAAACGAUGAAUACUCGCUGUUUGCGAUAUACAGUAAGCGGCCAAGCGAAAGCAUUAAGUGUUCCACCUGGGGAGUACGCCGGCAACGGUGAAACUCAAAGGAAUUGACGGGGGCCCGCACAAGCGGAGGAACGUGUGGUUUAAUUCGAUGAUACGCGAGGAACCUUACCCGGGCUUAAAUUGCAGUGGAAUGAUGUGGAAACAUGUCAGUGAGCAAUCACCGCUGUGAAGGUGCUGCAUGGUUGUCGUCAGCUCGUGCCGUGAGGUGUCGGCUUAAGUGCCAUAACGAGCGCAACCCUUAUCUUUAGUUACUAACAGGUUAUGCUGAGGACUCUGGAGAGACUGCCGUCGUAAGAUGUGAGGAAGGUGGGGAUGACGUCAAAUCAGCACGGCCCUUACGUCCGGGGCUACACACGUGUUACAAUGGGGGGUACAGAAGGCAGCUAGCGGGUGACCGUAUGCUAAUCCCAAAAGCCUCUCUCAGUUCGGAUCGAAGUCUGCAACCCGACUUCGUGAAGCUGGAUUCGCUAGUAAUCGCGCAUCAGCCACGGCGCGGUGAAUACGUUCCCGGGCCUUGUACACACCGCCCGUCAAGCCAUGGGAGCCGGGGGUACCUGAAGUACGUAACCGCAAGGAUCGUCCUAGGGUAAAACUGGUGACUGGG